GUCCACUUCUUCUUUUACUAUCGGGUUUCCGUAGUCAUCGUCGAUGUACGGAAGCGCAUCGAUUAACUCUUCCGUACGAGUCACCACCGCUGUCGGCGGCGCCUGCAGCAUUAGUAUAUCCCCGCCGCUACCACUAGCCGUCGCCAUAACUUUGUUACAGAGAAGCACUUUUUGCUACCCAGGUCGAGUUUCAGGCCCCUUAAAGUAUGGACUUUGGUCCCUUAAAACCUCCUAGCUUUUAAUUAAUAUCUCGACAAAAUUAGAAAAAUGAAAAAGUUAAGCAAUUCAAACAAAAUUCGACCGAACUGGCAAGGGGUCAAGCCAAGCCGCUUAUGAAACCCCCGUCCCCGCCGCUACCACUAGCCGUCGCCAUAACUUUGUUACAGAGAAGCACUUUUUGCUACCCAGGUCGAGUUUCAGGCCCCUUAAAGUAUGGACUUUGGUCCCUUAAAACCUCCUAGCUUUUAAUUAAUAUCUCGACAAAAUUAGAAAAAUGAAAAAGUUAAGCAAUUCAAACAAAAUUCGACCGAACUGGCAAGGGGUCAAGCCAAGCCGCUUAU
rnacentral:lncRNA from 1 species